UAGGGAAUUUUGCGCAAUGGGCGAAAGCCUGACGCAGCAACGCCGCGUGGGUGAUGAAGGCCUUCGGGUCGUAAAACCCUGUCGAUGAGAGACGAAACGCACUGCCCCGAAUAAGGGCGGUGCCUGACGGUAUCUCGUGAGGAAGCCCCGGCCAACUCCGUGCCAGCAGCCGCGGUAAUACGGGAGGGGCGAGCGUUAUUCGGAAUUACUGGGCGUAAAGGGCGUGUAGGCGGUCCUAUUUGUCGAUUGUGAAAUCCCUCGGCUUAACCGGGGAACUGCUCUCGAAACGGUAGGACUUGAGUCCGGGAGAGGAAAGCGGAAUUCCCAGUGUAGCGGUGAAAUGCGUAGAUAUUGGGAGGAACACCGGUGGCGAAGGCGGCUUUCUGGACCGGUACUGACGCUGAUACGCGAAAGCUAAGGGAGCAAACAGGAUUAGAUACCCUGGUAGUCCUAGCUGUAAACGAUGGGCACUUGGUGUAGCGGGUAUCGACCCCUGCUGUGCCGAAGCUAACGCAUUAAGUGCCCCGCCUGGGGAGUACGGUCGCAAGGCUG
rnacentral:rRNA from 1 species